CGUUGCUUCACAGUCGUUCUUCACUGGCUAGUUUUAUGUGGCUCCACCUUAAAGCUGCCAGUUGAAGAGCUGUUGUGGGUAAC
rnacentral:pre_miRNA from 2 species